UUACUGAUAAAACCUGGCUAACUUUGUUUUUUAUCAAGUGUCAAGAAGUUGUGUUUUGCUAAGGAAGGAACACUAAAAAAGUAAAGGUCCAAAGAAAAAUCAAGGUCUCUGCAACUGAAGUUCACCUGAACUGAUAAAAAUGCUUCCAAAUUGAAGAUCUGCUCAGUGUGGGAAGUCUGAGGAAUUUGGUCUGGAGCUGCCUUGGAAAUGGAGAGUUGAGAUGUCACUCUGUGUUCUGUAAUAGAGUAACAUCUGUCCACUGAUGACAGCCCCAUCAAACAUUGCUGUGUCUGUUCGCUUCAGUUAAGCAAGUUAAAAUUAUCAGCAGUGGAAUGUUCUUGUUUGUGUUCUUUUUAG
rnacentral:lncRNA from 1 species